rnacentral:rRNA from 1 species
GGAUUAGAUACCCUGGUAGUCCACGCAGUAAACGAUGAAUACUAGCUGUAUGCGAUAUACUGUAUGUGGCAAAGCGAAAGCGUUAAGUAUUCCACCUGGGGAGUACGUUCGCAAGAAUGAAACUCAAAGGAAUUGACGGGGGCCCGCACAAGCGGAGGAACAUGUGGUUUAAUUCGAUGAUACGCGAGGAACCUUACCCGGGCUUGAAAUGCAUCUGACCGACUUGGAAACAGGUCUUCUAGCAAUAGCAGAUGUGUAGGUGCUGCAUGGUUGUCGUCAGCUCGUGCCG